rnacentral:rRNA from 1 species
CCUACGGGAGGCAGCAGUAAGGAAUAUUGGUCAAUGGGCGCAAGCCUGAACCAGCCAUGCCGCGUGCAGGAAGACGGCCCUAUGGGUUGUAAACUGCUUUUGAACAAGAGAAAACCUCGGUACGUGUACCGAGCUGAUAGUAUUGUUAGAAUAAGCAUCGGCUAACUUCGUGCCAGCAGCCGCGGUAAGACGAAGGAUGCAAGCGUUAUCCGGAUUCAUUGGGUUUAAAGGGUGCGUAGGCGGCCUGAUAAGUCAGUGGUGAAAUCUCUCAGCUUAACUGAGAAACUGCCAUUGAUACUGUCGGGCUUGAGUACAGAUGAUGUGGGCGGAAUAUGACAUGUAGUGGUGAAAUACUUAGAUAUGUCAUAGAACACCGAUUGCGAAGGCAGCUCACAAAACUGUAACUGACGCUGAGGCACGAAAGUGCGGGGAUCAAACAGGAUUAGAUACCCUGGUAGUCCGCACCGUAAACGAUGAUUACUCGUUGUUGGCAAUAUGACCGUCAGCGACCAAGCGAAAGCGAUAAGAAUCCACCUGGGGAGUACGCCGGCAACGGUGAAACUCAAANAGAGUAGACGACGNGAGAGNGCGAGACGACGACGAGGGAGAGG